rnacentral:pre_miRNA from 12 species
UGACCUGAAUCAGGUAGGCAGUGUAUUGUUAGCUGGCUGCUUUGGGUCAAGUCAGCAGCCACUACUACACUGCCACUUGCUUCUGGACAA